AACGAACGCUGGCGGCGUGCCUAACACAUGCAAGUCGAACGGAAUGAGGGGCUUGCUCCUCAUUUAGUGGCGCACGGGUGAGUAACGCGUAGAUAAUCUGCCUGAUGAUCUGGGAUAACAGUUCGAAAGGACUGCUAAUACCGGAUAAGCCCACGGAGUCUUUGGACUUUGCGGGAAAAGGGGGGGACCUUCGGGCCUUCUGUCAUCAGAUGAGUCUGCGUACCAUUAGCUAGUUGGUAGGGUAAAGGCCUACCAAGGCGACGAUGGUUAGCUGGUCUGAGAGGAUGAUCAGCCACACUGGAACUGGGACACGGUCCAGACUCCUACGGGAGGCAGCAGUGGGGAAGUUUGCGCAAUGGGCGAAAGCCUGACGCAGCAACGCCGCGUGAGUGAUGAAGGCUUUCGGGUCGUAAAGCUCUGUCGAGGGGAAAAAAGUGUAUUGUGGUUAAUACCCGCGAUACUUGACGGUACCCCUAAAGGAAGCACCGGCUAACUCCGUGCCAGCCGCCGCAGUAAAAC
rnacentral:rRNA from 1 species